CCUGCCUACCUGAGGCGUUUUGAAGCAAAAAGAAUCAAGAAAGAGGAAAAAAGUGCAAAAGGCUUUUGGUGAAAUAGUCAGUGGAAAAUUGUUCAUUGUAUUUGGAAGGAACAUUUCAAAUCAUCUUGACAAAGCUCCAUGAAACAGCAAUAGAACUCUACCACCUGAGAAGACACUAGAAUCUCGGACUUUGGAAAUUCUCUUGAGUCUUCAAUCACCUAUCCAUUCCAUAGAACGCACUCAACCUGGAGAUGUUCUACUUUGUAAGAGAAUUUCUGGGAGAAUCCACAGGAAAUUCUGUAAUGUACAGAGAUUCUGAUUUCAUUGGUUCAUUUCAGUGUAUUCCUCAAAUACGUUAAGAAGCCGUAUUUCCUGGCAAAAGAAUUUUUGGAGGCUGAUAUAUAUCAAAGACAGUUCUGCUAGGAAGCUAGUGAAAAGUCAUUUCACACAAAGCAGCUAACAACAUAAAUGGUGUGUUGUAUAAGGAAUAACUCAUGGAUCUACAAGUCCUUCUUUUUUCUUUAAAAAGCUUGUAUUAGGCACCUACCAGGCAAUGAGGGACCACAAAAAAACUCACAACAACAACGUGGCAGGGGAAGCAUUGUAUUAUCAACACUUAAUAUAAUUUGUUAUUUGAAGUAAGCACUUUUUUAGCAUGGAUGUAGAAAGAAGAGUACAGGUGGGUAUCCAGUCAAAACAGCAUCUUUAUGUGUGGAAACACCAAAUCUUUAUCAUGAGUCCUUUAAAGUCUUCCAAAUGUUUGACAGGAGAAAUGGAAAAUCUGUGUCCCAAAGUCCUCUUUCACAUUGGCUUUGUGAUGUACAGUAUGAGACAGUGAGAGGAUUUUCAGGGAAACUUACUAUCCCAUGCAAUUGCAUAGGAAAACAUGAUGAGUUCUUUAAGUUCUUAUAACGGCUGUCUGUUGUACCUAUAUAUCACAACAGUUUCAGAAUUAAAAUGCUAAAAGUAAGGAUUUGUGUACUCAAGGAAGAGGAC